rnacentral:rRNA from 1 species
AUUGAACGCUGGCGGCAUGCCUUACACAUGCAAGUCGAACGGCAGCAUGGGUGCUUGCACCUGAUGGCGAGUGGCGAACGGGUGAGUAAUGCAUCGGAACGUACCCGGAAGUGGGGGAUAACGUAGCGAAAGUUACGCUAAUACCGCAUAUUCUGUGAGCAGGAAAGCGGGGGAUCGCAAGACCUCGCGCUUCCGGAGCGGCCGAUGUCGGAUUAGCUAGUUGGUGGGGUAACGGCCUACCAAGGCGAUGAUCAGUAGCUGGUCUGAGAGGAUGAUCAGCCACACUGGGACUGAGACACGGCCCAGACUCCUACGGGAGGCAGCAGUGGGGAAUAUUGGACAAUGGGCGAAAGCCUGAUCCAGCAAUGCCGCGUGGAUGAAGAAGGUCUUCGGAUUGUAAAGUCCUUUCGGCGGGGACGAUGAUGACGGUACCCGCAGAAGAAGCCCCGGCUAACUUCGUGCCAGCAGCCGCGGU